CAGAAGAAGGAAGGUUGGGAGUGAGUGUGGGGAUUGGCUGAACAAUUAGAUUGGAAGAUUGGUAAAUUGGACAAUUAGGCAAUUUAGCAUCUGAUAUAAGCAAGACUUCAAGUUCACGAGAUUGAUCCCUGGGAUGGCGGGACUGUCAUAUGAG